GCUGCCUGUCCCUCGCCCAGUGCGGGGAAACUGGUCCGAGAGAAUGAAUGGCUUUCGCCGAGCGCCGGAAGCUGACGGGCGUGGGGCGCUUCUUGCCCCCAAGCACCCGCGCCCGCGUGGGGUGUCCCUCAGCCCGGGUCUCUACUCUGAGGCACUAUUCCUAGGCCUCCAAGGUGUCUCCUCAAAGACUGGCUGACCCACUUUCCAGAUGGAGCCAACAUCAUCCUCUGUCUCAUCCAUAAAUCAUGAACAGAAGGCCCAGGAAAUGAGAAGCGGAGUCCCCACUGGGAGAGUAGCAGAGCUUCCAGCAUGAGGCCCACAACGAGAUCACAGAAGCACAGCAGAAUUCUCCAGAAAGCCAGUUGUGAUCAAUGGCAGCACAGCCUGGUCCCACAGGAAAUGUUCCUGGAUUUUAAAACACAAAUAAACAGUAAUGCAGAAAUUAGAGAAGAUGUAUCAUUUACCAAAUUUAAUCUGGCACAUUUAAUAAUACAUUAUGAUAAUUAUGGCACCUGAAAGCUAGAUAUAAAUACUCAUUCAUUUGCAAUUCAUUGGCAAUAAUAGUUAUUUCUGAGAUUCCCUCAGACCAAUGAUGGUAAAGAGAAAAGAUAAAGUUAAUGAGCUUCUCCUCUGAGAGAAGGAGGUCACAGGCCACUCUUCCGGUCGUCAUUCCCUAUAAAGGAUUAAAGGUAUGAGCUCAGGGAAGGAUGACUUCCCCCAGUACUUUCUUGAAGUUCUUUUGGAAGAAGAAAUAGUUAGAUACCCUAGAGAGUCUGAUUUUGGUGUUCAUUUAGAAGUCAAAGGCAUGAGGUCAGACCUUGGUCUCAUAAUAGAUUAGCAGCAAGAGAAAUUAUUACUGUGGGUUUUGUUUUUGUAUUUAUUUAUUUAUUUAGACAUCAAGAAACUGUGAAACUGAGCAGCCCUUCAGUAGGAGCUGGUAGGAAAGGCAGCUUGAUAUGUAAGCAAUCUAGAAAAACAGCUGUACUUUCAGUAAUUAAUAAAAUUUAGUCCAAGUAUUUGCCUAAGACUUUUGCUUUUUAGUACUCAUACUUUUUACUACUCAUUCCAAGUAAAUUAAGAAUUGAAGUCGGAAGGGCCAGAUCACAGAAUGUCUCUUAAAUAUAGGCAAAUGAUUCUAGAUUUUAUACAGUAAUUCCUUGAUCACUAAUAAGUUUGUCUCUAAUAUUGACCCAAAGGUGAGGAAAAGAGUAGUUCUCAGACAAAAAAAUGCCCAGGAAUAGGUGUCAACAUAGCCGAAUGACUUGUGAAUUAGUGAAUUCCUACAAGCCAGGACAGAGCUUUUGAAAAUUAUAAUAAAGUUAUUUUCCUCUCCAGUUUUUUGGCAUUGUAUUACAAUGUCUAGGAAGGAAGCUAGGUUUCCCCACCCUCACAUAUACUCCCUUCUAUGAAGAAGGCAGAUAUAGGACAAGGACCAGGACAGUACUGGACCAUAGCACUAAGGGGUAGGCUUUUAGGCAUUAAGAGUGCGGAAGAUAAAAUUUAAAAAUCAAUCCAUCUUAAUCAAUAAAACAUCUUACCUCUGCAUAGUAUACCUACCUGAAUUCCUUUUUUGGAAUCUUUUUCCUUAUUUAAACUUGUCAUUUGAGCAGCUGAAGUAAAAAUAUGGGCCAGGACCCUCUUCUUAGUGAGAAAAUCACUUCCUACCUUCACCCCAACAACAUCGUCACUAAAACAAAUCAAUAAAAACAGCCUCCAAUCAAAGGUCAAAGGAAACCAGAGGGAGCUAAGGGAAAAUGCACCAUUAAGUGGGCAGUUCAGCCUGGUCAUUCUAGCUCUUCCUUCUAAGAGCUUUAGUUUUAAUUCAUAAAUUAUCUCUUCCUGGUUUGGUUUGGCUUUUGUGUUUUUUUUCUUGCCAUAAAAGUGAUAAGGCAUGAAAUUCCAAGUUUAGGGUGUGAGCCUGGGGGAAAAAUUGCCAAGAAAACUAUUUGGUUGCCUUCAGGCUAGGCUUCUAAGUCUUAGGGGCAAAAAAAAAAAAAAGAAAAAAAAAUUCGUUGCUACUGCUCCUAGCUGAACGCACUAGACAGAGGGGCCAUGUCCAAGUUGGAGUCGAAAUUCUAACAAUUAACAAUAUGUGUGACUUGGGGGUGGUUUUCACCUCCUACACACAAAGCUGAAUGAGGACCCCAUUCAGUCUGGCUGGCCACAUUCUUUAUGACCAAGACUGAUUCAUACCUCCCACUGCCAUUGGAUGGCUGUGAGGUGGCAUGCAGGAGUCUUGCCUGUUACUGGGCAGGUUAGGCUAGGCACAUGCCCUCUGAGCCUGGGCUGGGCAGAUCUCUCAUACCAGGUACUCUGCAACUCAGAAGGACCACAGGGAACACAGGGGAACCAUGUGAGGACACAGUCAAACACAGGAGUAGGGGACCAAGACCAUGCAUCCAUCCUGAAUGGUUUUUUUGUUUUUUUUUUUGAGAUGGAGUCUCACUCUGUUGCCCAGGCUGGAGUGCAGUGGCGCAAUCUCGCUUCACCGCAACCUCCACUUCCGGAAGGGUUCAAGCAAUUCUCCUCCCUCAGCCUCCUAAGUAGCUGGGACUACAGGCACCUGCCACUAUGCUCAGCUAAUUUUUGUAUUUUUAGUAGAGAUAGGGUUUUAUCAUGUUGGCCAAGCUGGUCUUGAACUCCUGACCUCAGGUGAUCCACCCAUCUCAGUUUCCCAAAGUGCUGGGAUUACAGGCAUGAGCCACUGUGCCCGUUCUGUUCCUGUUCAAUGCAAACAGUGCUUUUUCUUGAGGUCUGACCACUGGACAACAAGAGUCAAGUGCCAGUCACCAAGAUUUUGAAACUCCAAAUUUGUUUUUGUUUUUGUUUUUGCUUUUUGUUUUCGAAUCAUUGUAAGCAAAAAUCUCAGUUAACAAACUCGGAUAUAUAUGGAGUAUGGUUUUAAAUACUCUAGAAGCUAAAUUUUUACUUUAAUACUUCAUCUGAAUGAGCAAAUCAGAAAUUCAGCCU
rnacentral:lncRNA from 1 species